ACAGUUGUCAAGAAAUUUAGUGAAUUCCGUUUUGUAAGAUUUUAGGUUAUAUUUGCCUAUGGUGAAAUAAAACUAAUUCACAGGAAUUGAAUUUCCUUUUCUAUCUUUUCUGCAUAAGUCUUCUUUGCUUCUAAAUGUUUUAAUCCUUUUUCUAAUUAGCGUGAACAAUGGAAUAUUACAGUUGGAAUAUUAAACAUUUCAUUGAUGGGGAAAUUACAACCAAGAAAUGAUGGUGUAUCAAAGUUGAAUAGAUACAUUGAAGAUACUUUCCAGCGUAGAAUGAAAUACUAGGACGAACGACAAAGACGUACUCUCCAAACAGAUGCAAUUACUUUCUUGCAUGAUAUAUCUGGAAAUAUGUUUAAGUAUUUAUUCAGACAUUCAUGAGGAAAUUACAAGCAUAAAAUUAUGGAGCAGAAAAGUUGAAUAGAUUCAUUACAGAUAUUUUCCAGCAUGGAAUUAAAUACUAGGACAUAUAACAAAAACAUACUACGCAAGCAGAUGCAAUUACUUUCUUACAAGAUAUAUGUGGAAAUAUGUUUAAGGAUUCAUUCAGACAUUGAUGAGGAACUUCCAACCAAA